UGAGAGGGGAUAUGAUAACAUUAUACAAAUAUAUUCGGGGCCAAUACAAACCAUUGUGUGGAAAUCUAUUUACAAACCGGACUUUACAUAGGACACGAGGUCAUGAGUUUAGACUGGAAGAAAGAAGAUUUCGUCUAAGGCAAAGGAAAGGUUUUUUUACUGUAAGAACAAUCAGGAUGUGGAAUUCUCUAGAUGCAUACUUGCAAGAACAGAAUAUUCAAGGAUAUAAUCUUUCAAUGUAGGGUAAUAACUGCUUGAUCCAAGGAUAAAUCUGACUGCCAUUCUGGGGUCAAGAAGGAAUUUUUUUCCUAGCUUGUUGCAAAAUUGUGCUUCAAACUGGGUUUUUUUGCCUUUUUUUGGAUCAACAGCAAAUAACAAAUGUGAGGUAGGCUGAACUUGAUGGACGCAAGUCUCUUUUCAGCUAUGUAACUAUGUAACUAUGGUCCCAUGCCCAAAACAGUUCCAAAGAAUCAGGGCUAGCGGUCGGUCUAGUUCGGUAGUUUUAAAACGAACAAACUACCGAACUUAGUCAAUGGUCUUACCCUGGAGCUAGUUUCCCUUGUUCAGACGAAUGAUUCCACUGAACAGUGCCCUUCUAACUUGUGUAGAACCGAACUCAGGCGAUAAUGGAAGUCCAGCGGUGUUCAGGAGUUUCUGUGUCCGAUUUUAGUUCCAUGAGAUUCAUGCCCAAACAUCACUGCCUGCAUUCAUGCGAACAAGAUGGCCACCACCUUGUGGUCGUCCAUAGGAAUUGUGGCGACCCAGACGAACA